rnacentral:misc_RNA from 1 species
AAGUCGUAACAAGGUUUCCGUAGGUGAACCUGCGGAAGGAUCAUUACAAAUCCCAUUUGAUUCAUAUCUGUUGAAAUGUGAAAAAGUGAGAGAGAGAGAGAGAGGGGUGGUGGUGGUUAGGGUUCGUGAUUGGUUAGGGUUAGGGUUUAGGUCAGGUUUUGUUAUAAAAUACACAACCAUUCUAAUGACUUGUACGAUUCCAUCCCUAUACACACACUCGCGUUUCUCUUCUUCAUCACCUCACCUGCUUUCUCACUUUUCUUUUCAUUCUUUUUUGUUGAUCUAUUUUAAAUAUUUCGAUGACACACACUUUACACAACUUGUGACAAUGGAUCUCUAGGCUCUU